CAUGUCUUUUUGAAAAUAAUUUAAAGUUYWAUYUGCUCCAUGAAAAUAUUUUAAAUAGCUGCAGUAUUUUAACUGUACAAAGGUAGCAUAAUCAAUAGUUUUUUAAUUAAAAGCUGGAAUGAAUGAUUUUAUGAAAUAAUAUCUGUCUCAGAUUAAUUAGUUUUAUAAUUUUUUUUUUAGUAAAAAUACUAAAUUGAUUUUGAAAGACGAGAAGACCCUAUAGAAUUUUAUAAUUUUUUAUUAAAUCAAUUUUAAGAAAAAGUUUAAUGAAAAUUUAUUAAGUUGGGGAAAUUAUUAAAUUUAAAUAAUUUUAAUUAUUUUUAAACAAAAAUUAUUGAGUGAUAGAUCUUAAAUUUUAAAAUAUAAGAAUAAAUUACCUUAGGGAUAACAGCGUAAUUCUUUUGGAGAGAUCUUAUUAAUAAAAGAGUUUGCGACCUCGAUGUUGAAUUAAAAUAAAAUUUUAAUGGAGGAGUUAAAAAUUUUUGGUCUGUUCGACCAUUAAUAUUUUACGU
rnacentral:rRNA from 1 species